UUGCUGUGAUUUCCAUUUUUGCAGUUUUUUAUCAUGAAAACUUCAGUGUGCUUCUUAGUAUAGCACAUAAUAGAUCCUUAAGCCAAUGCUGACCUUUGUCCAAGAAGGAAGAGGGACAUCCAGCAACGUUCUGCUCCAUCCUUAUCUUCCCGACGUACACUUAUCUAGCUUCACUGCUUUUGCGGCUACAACUUGUCCUACUUCACCGACGAGUUGGAACACUUCAGUGGUCGCUACCUCCUUUGCUGUUACACACCUGCAGUUACUAACCACGGGAUUAUGCCCAGGUAAUGCAGAAGAGACGUCGAGAAGAUGGACACCAAAACAACGCCGGUAUCUCUAAAAUGUCAGCGUGGAUCAUCAUUUGUUAUUGGUAACAUGUUUGUGUUUGUGUAAGUUAACCCGUUGUCUGCCACGCCUUUGUUCUC